UAGGGAAUCUUCGGCAAUGGGGGGAACCCUGACCGAGCAACGCCGCGUGAGUGAAGAAGGUUUUCGGAUCGUAAAGCUCUGUUGUUAAGGAAGAACGAGUGUGAGAAUGGAAAGUUCAUACUGUGACGGUACUUAACCAGAAAGGGACGGCUAACUACGUGCCAGCAGCCGCGGUAAUACGUAGGUGGCAAGCGUUGUCCGGAUUUAUUGGGCGUAAAGCGAGCGCAGGCGGUCAAUUAAGUCUGAUGUGAAAGCCCCCGGCUCAACCGGGGAGGGUCAUUGGAAACUGUUUAACUUGAGUGCAGAAGGGGAGAGUGGAAUUCCAUGUGUAGCGGUGAAAUGCGUAGAUAUAUGGAGGAACACCAGUGGCGAAGGCGACUCUCUGGUCUGUAACUGACGCUGAGGCUCGAAAGCGUGGGUAGCAAACAGG
rnacentral:rRNA from 1 species